rnacentral:rRNA from 1 species
AAUAGAUACCCCGGUAGUCCAUGCCGUAAACGUUGGGCACUAGGUGUGGGGCUCAUUCCACGAGUUCCGUGCCGCAGCAAACGCAUUAAGUGCCCCGCCUGGGGAGUACGGCCGCAAGGCUAAAACUCAAAGGAAUUGACGGGGGCCCGCACAAGCGGCGGAGCAUGCGGAUUAAUUCGAUGCAACGCGAAGAACCUUACCAAGGCUUGACAUGCACGGGAAGCCACCAGAGAUGGUGGUCUCUUUGGACACUCGUGCACAGGUGGUGCAUGGUUGUCGUCAGCUCGUGUCGUGAGAUGUUGGGUUAAGUCCCGCAACGAGCGCAACCCUCGUCCCAUGUUGCCAGCGGGUUAUGCCGGGGACUCAUGGGAGACUGCCGGGGUCAACUCGGAGGAAGGUGGGGAUGACGUCAAAUCAUCAUGCCCCUUAUGUCUUGGGCUUCACGCAUGCUACAAUGGCCGGUACAAAGGGCUGCGAUGCCGUAAGGUGGAGCGAAUCCCAAAAAGCCGGUCUCAGUUCGGAUUGGGGUC